rnacentral:tRNA from 1 species
UCCGACAUAGUCCAGUGGUUAGGAUAUCUGGCUUUCACCCAGAAGACCCGGGUUGUGAGUUUCAAGGACAUUAUCAUAUGUAUCGGGACAAUGUUCUAACAUUGUAUAGCAAACCCCGGUAUCGGAA